rnacentral:rRNA from 1 species
AGAGCGAACGCUGGCGGCAGGCCUAAUACAUGCAAGUCGAACGGACCCUUCGGGGUUAGUGGCGGACGGGUGAGUAACACGUGGGAACGUGCCCUUUGGUUCGGAACAACUCAGGGAAACUUGAGCUAAUACCGAAUGUGCCCUUCGGGGGAAAGAUUUAUCGCCAUUGGAGCGGCCCGCGUCUGAUUAGCUAGUUGGUGAGGUAAAGGCUCACCAAGGCGACGAUCAGUAGCUGGUCUGAGAGGAUGAUCAGCCACACUGGGACUGAGACACGGCCCAGACUCCUACGGGAGGCAGCAGUAGGGAAUCUUGCGCAAUGGGCGAAAGCCUGACGCAGCCAUGCCGCGUGAAUGAUGAAGGUCUUAGGAUUGUAAAAUUCUUUCAGCGGGGACGAUAAUGACGGUACCCGCAGAGAAGCCCCGGCUAACUUCGUGCCAGCAGCCGC